rnacentral:rRNA from 1 species
AGGACGAACGCUAGCGGCGUGUUUGAAACAUGCAAGUCGAACGGAGGAAGCAAUUCCUCAGUGGCGAACGGGUGCGUAACACGUAAAGAACCUGUCCUAUAGCGGGGGAUAGCCCUGGGAAACUGGGGGUAAUACCGCAUGAGUCAUUCAAGAGGCAUCUUUUGAAUGGGAAAGGCCUUCGGGCCACUAAAGGAGGGCUUUGCGGCCUAUCAGGUAGUUGGUGGGGUAACGGCCUACCAAGCCUACGACGGGUAGCUGGUCUGAGAGGAUGGUCAGCCACACUGGGACUGAGAUACGGCCCAGACUCCUACGGGGGGCAGCAGUUUAGAAUAUUGUGCAAUGGGCGAAAGCCUGACACAGCGACGCCGCGUGGGUGAAGAAGGCCUUCGGGUCGUAAAGCCCUGUUGGUAGGGAUGAGAAUGGACAGUACCUACCGAGGAACGCCCGGCUAACUCGCGCCAGCAGCCGC